CGAGAAGUAGGAAAAGCCUCCCAAAUUAUUCAGAGGAGAGUUAAAACAGGGAAAAUGCAUCUGGCGAUAAGGAGGUGAUGUGGGGACCAAGGUCUAGGCAACUGGAUUGCUGCGGUUUCUGCGGUAAAGAAGAAGAGAAAUACCUUGGAAUGCACAAAACACAAAGAGCAGCCAGGCCCAUGCAAGUGCUGCAGAGACGCCGGCUGAAUGACCAGUCCACCUGGUAAAGUAGCUGA
rnacentral:lncRNA from 1 species